UGAUCAGAAUAGCUGAAAGCUCAAGUUUGUGGCCGAGAGGAAAUUCAAAGCACUCACCCUGUCUGAAUUCAUUAUCUGAAAUCUCUGGGAUAUAUCUGAGGGGUUAGCAGGCAGACGAGUUCUUCCAGAGACAAAUCUAAGGAACUGUAUCCUCUCCUCAUUGCUGAACGAAUCCAGAACCUCCCAAAACCAACAGACUACUUCAUUCUUCUCAUCAAUUCCCCGACCAGCUGUUCCAGGUUUUUAGGGGUCAACAAAGUCAGAAGUGGGACCGGGAUAAUCCAGGACAUGCCUUCACGCACAGCAGCAGCCUGCAACAGCAUAAGCAACUGUUUCAUUAUUCUGUUAUUUCAGGGCUUAGUUAUAUUUUUUUUUUCAAAAAUACUUAUCAUUUCAUGAAAUAAUUUUUAUGUAAGAUUUGAAUUUAUAAUAAUGAAAAAUAUUCAGUUUCAAUUUUAUAUAUUUAAUUCAUGAUUAAAUAAGCCAAAAUAAUACGCCAUUCUGUAAUAAAAAGGGGGUAAAAAAUAUUGUACUAUAAGUAAUCCAUUAGGUUUAAACAUGGACUUCCAGGUAACUCUAUAUGUCAGUGUGUGUAUGUGAUCCCACCUGUCGGUUCAUUUCCUGCAGCCUGUAAUUCAGCACGGCCUCCACAUACUCGCGGCGAUUAUUGAAGUUGAGCUGAAGAGUUCCUCCCCCUGGAAUGACAGGAACCAAACUGCCAUCAGCACUCUGUCCCUCAAAGCAGUCCAGCGGAAUGAACUAAAAAGGGAAGAGAAAGAAAUAAAAGUAUACAAGUCGUUAUCAAGAUCUGUGGCCGCCAUCCAAUAAAAACUUUCAGAAAAAACAUGGUUGGAUUUCACAUCAAACCCUGCUGUAUACCUCUUCAAUGUCGUCCAAUCUCAGGGAAAUUCCGACCAGGAGUUUCCACACACUGGGUGCCAGGUGGAGAUCCAGGGGUUUCUUUGUUCUUAUGGCCACCCCAAACAGUACCCCCAGGAACUUAAACAUUGCAAAGUCAUCUUCUCCAGAACACGCUGGGUUCAAUAGAAACCUGAAUAUACACAGUGUGUCUAAGUGAUUUAGCAUCACAGUACAGGGGUUGCUAUGGACAUGCGUUCAUUAAAAUGAAAAUCAAAUAGUACAUGUAUCUAGUUUUUUUUUUUUUAUUCAGGUAUUUAUACAUGUAGUAUAAAUUUCUUUGCUGAUAAUAUUCAAUUUUUUUUUAACUCCAUAAGUUUCACCAGUAACAUUCAAAAAUUGUUUUUCGUGUGUUUUUACUUUUAACAUCUUUAAUAAAGUAAAUUUAAAGAAUUUGUUCAAUCAGUAUGAUAUUCUAAAUAUAUAUUUAUAUUGCACAACAGCUUAAAUUAAGCAAAAUAAAAGAUUUUGAUGUUG
rnacentral:sRNA from 1 species